ensembl:snoRNA
AGCACUAUUUUUUAAACCUAUUGAUGGGAAUUUUUACCACUUUAGGUUACGCUGUAGUGCCAAAGAAUCCCUUAAUGCCUAUCCUAGCACAGCUGACUGUCCAUUUAGCUUGUGCUCUGCUGGUAGUAUUAAGGAACAUGA